GACGAACGCUGGCGGCGUGCUUAAUACAUGCAAGUCGAACGGAAAGGCCCCUUUGUGGGUCCUCGAGUGUCGACCGGGUGCGUAACACUUACGUAACCUUCCCUUGCCUUCGGGAUAACUUCAGGUACCUGGGGCCAAUACCGGUUCGGAAUCCUUUCUGCAUCCUGGUGGUUGGAUAGCUUCGGCGGUUUUUGAUGGACUGGCUACUUAUCGGCUUGUUGGUGGAGUAGUGGCUUACCAAGGCUUUGAGGGGUAGCCAGCCUGAGAGGGCGACCGGCCACAUUGGGACUGAGGGGAGGCCCAGAUACGGAAGGGAGGCAGAAGUGGGGAAGAUUGAACAAGGGGCGGAAGGCGGAUGCAGAAACGCCGCGGGCGGGAAGACGGUCUUAGGGUGGAAAAACGCAUUCAGCAGGGGCGAAGCAUGUGGUGACGGUACCUGAAGAAGAAGCACCGGCUAACUACGUG
rnacentral:rRNA from 1 species